ACUAUCCAUUCAAAUAUUUUAAAUGGAAUAAAUGUACAAAAAAAAAUUUUAAAAAAUUUCGUACAACCCAUAUAUAAUUCUUUAUCUGCAUCUUUCAUUAAAGUGUGAUAACGAGCUGUUUCAUCAUUAGAUGUAUGUAUAGGCUCCUCAACAUGCAUACGUUCCGUAUGCAUACAUCCAUCAAACAUCCAAACUGUUUUUUGUAUACUACUGGAUUCUCCUAAAUUUUGAACAUCAAGUCCAAAAGUAUCUGUAAUCAAACCCCUUAUAUCAUCAUCUCUUGCAGAAUUGCCUUGUAGACUAGUGGAUCCAAAAUGAGUCAGAGGUUGGUUACAUGAUGAUGGCAACAUAGAUUUCUCAUGAAAAAUCCAAUCGGUAUAAUCUCUUAAAAAAUCAUUCCAUACCAAAUAUUUUUCAACAAUUUAUGGAUCUAAAGAAGAACUAUUUAUACAUUUCCGACAUGGACAUAAAAUCUUUCCAUUCAAACUAUUUUUCUCCAUACCAAAUUUAAUGAAGUCAUGAACUCCAUCUAAAUUUUUUUUACUAUUCCUUGAUUUAUUUAUCCAAUUUUUGUCCAUUAUAGAAUAAAAAUGAUCGAACUUACAACUUAUCUAAAAAUAAAAAAAAUUAUACAAUCUAUAUUAAUGCAAUG
rnacentral:lncRNA from 1 species